GACGAACGCUGGCGGCGUGCUUAACACAUGCAAGUCGAACGGAAAGGCCCUGCUUUUGUGGGGUGCUCGAGUGGCGAACGGGUGAGUAACACGUGAGUAACCUGCCCUUGACUUUGGGAUAACUUCAGGAAACUGGGGCUAAUACCGGAUAGGAGCUCCUGUUGCAUGGUGGGGGUUGGAAAGUUUCGGCGGUUGGGGAUGGACUCGCGGCUUAUCAGCUUGUUGGUGGGGUAGUGGCUUACCAAGGCUUUGACGGGUAGCCGGCCUGAGAGGGUGACCGGCCACAUUGGGACUGAGAUACGGCCCAGACUCCUACGGGAGGCAGCAGUGGGGAAUAUUGCACAAUGGGCGGAAGCCUGAUGCAGCAACGCCGCGUGCGGGAUGGCGGCCUUCGGGUUGUAAACCGCUUUCGCCUGUGACGAAGCGUGAGUGACGGUAAUGGGUAAAGAAGCACCGGCUAACUACGUG
rnacentral:rRNA from 1 species